GAUGAACGCUAGCGGCAGGCCUAACACAUGCAAGUCGAGGGGCAUCGCGGUGCAGCAAUGCACUGGCAGCGACCGGCGUACGGGUGCGUAACGCGUAUGCAACCUGCCCCGCACCGGGGGAUAGCCCGCCGAAAGGCGGAUUAAUACCCCAUGGUCCCGGGGGCCCGCAUGGGCAUCCGGGUAAAGCCUUGGCGGUGCGGGAUGGGCAUGCGUGCCAUUAGCUGGCUGGUGGGGUAACGGCCCACCAGGGCAACGAUGGCUAGGGGGUCUGAGAGGAUGGUCCCCCACACUGGUACUGAGACACGGACCAGACUCCUACGGGAGGCAGCAGUGAGGAAUAUUGGUCAAUGGGCGGAAGCCUGAACCAGCCAUGCCGCGUGCGGGAUGAAGGCCCUACGGGUUGUAAACCGCUUUUCCCCGGGAAGAAUAAGCCCCCCGCGGGGGGUGAUGCCGGUACCGGGGGAAUAAGGAUCGGCUAACUCCGUGCCAGCAGCCGCGGUAAUAUCACGUCG
rnacentral:rRNA from 1 species